rnacentral:rRNA from 1 species
UAAAGGCCUACCAAGACUAUGAUGUGUAGCCGGGCUGAGAGGUUGAACGGCCACAUUGGGACUGAGACACGGCCCAAACUCCUACGGGAGGCAGCAGUAGGGAAUUUUCGGCAAUGGAGGAAACUCUGACCGAGCAACGCCGCGUGAACGAUGAAGUAUUUCGGUACGUAAAGUUCUUUUAUUAGGGAAGAAUAAAUGAUGGAAAAAUCAUUCUGACGGUACCUAAUGAAUAAGCCCCGGCUAACUAUGUGCCAGCAGCCGCGGUAAUACAUAGGGGGCAAGCGUUAUCCGGAAUUAUUGGGCGUAAAGGGUGCGUAGGCGGUUAAAUAAGUUUAUGGUCUAAGUGCAAUGCUCAACAUUGUGAUGCUAUAAAAACUGUUUAGCUAGAGUAAGAUAGAGGCAAGUGGAAUUCCAUGUGUAGUGGUAAAAUGCGUAAAUAUAUGGAGGAACACCAGUAGCGAAGGCGGCUUGCUGGGUCUUUACUGACGCUGAGGCACGAAAGCGUGGGGAGCAAACAGGAUUAGAUACCCUGGUAGUCCACGCCGUAAACGAUGAGUACUAAACGUUGGGUAAAACCAGUGUUGAAGUUAACACAUUAAGUACUCCGCCUGAGUAGUACGUACGCAAGUAUGAAACUUAAAGGAAUUGACGGGACUCCGCACAAGCGGUGGAUCAUGUUGUUUAAUUCGAAGGUACCCGAAAAACCUCACCAGGUCUUGACAUGCUUCUGCAAAGCUGUAGAAACACAGUGGAGGUUAUCAGUUGCACAGGUGGUGCAUGGUUGUCGUCAGCUCGUGUCGUGAGAUGUUGGGUUAAGUCCCGCAACGAGCGCAACCCUUAUUGUUAGUUACCAGCACGUAAUGGUGGGGACUUUAGCAAGACUGCCAGUGAUAAAUUGGAGGAAGGUGGGGACGACGUCAAAUCAUCAUGCCCCUUAUGACCUGGGCUACAAACGUGAUACAAUGGCUGUUACAAAGGGUAGCUGAAGCGCAAGUUUUUGGCGAAUCUCAAAAAAACAGUCUCAGUUCGGAUU